rnacentral:lncRNA from 1 species
AUGCCGGCAGGUAGAAGGUGUCCAGUAGACCUACCCUUGGACCCUGCAAAGUCAUUCCUAGGCUUACACCCGACAGAACUGCAUACAUGUGUUCACCGCGAGACCGGGAGAAGAGUGGUAAGGCCCGUACGGGAGACAGCCUAAGUGCCCAUUAACACCGUGGAUAAAUCACGGGUUAGUCCUCUGAUAGACUGGCUGCUGGUCCGGAGGAGGAGACAGAGAUGAUCUCCAACAUAACCGGAGGCAAAGAAGCUACUUCCCAAAGCGCGCGGCGUACCCUGUUUAUAUGAAGGUCAGAACUGCCAGUACAAGGAUGGCGGGAACCUAGGGCGCGUGCUGAACAGAACUCAGGGGACCUCUGAGGGGCUGGUCGUUUCUACCUGCCGGAUCUGGGUGCUGCUUACACCCCGAUGUCUUCACUGAGUUAACCCAGCUGUACACAUAGGGUUUGUGAACAUUUCUGUCCAUAGAAAAGGCAUUUUGAAGAAAACCUGGUGAUACCUGCUACAUUUUAAGCACCGUGCUAACGAGCACACCGGAGUCUACCGAAUGCGAUUCUGCUCUCAGGUGACCGCAACAGACAGGAAACCACCCACGAGUGGACAAAAGGUGUAAGGAAGGACAGAGCUGUAACCGGUACUGCCCUGCCGACCAACCAGAAUCACUCUGCUCCCCCAAGGCCUUGGUGUCCUUUCAGAGGACCGUCUCCCCUCCCUCCCAGGGGCAGCGUGAGAAGACCUGCUUCAGACCAAGUACCUGCCCUCCCCAAAUGGCACCGAAGGGUCUAUGGAAACGUCCUCCCCAGGCCCUUUACCACCCGUCACAGCCACCGGGUGAGACAAGAAGGCUCUUCAAAUCCAAUCCAGGGUGUGCUCUUCGGAAGGCAUGACCUGAAUAUAAAGAUGCUGUAAUUUAUUCCGUGGUAUGGUGACUCGAGUGAAAAAUUAAAGACUCAAGGACUGAUAAAAUAGCUCAGGGGCUGAAGAAGGAUAAUUUGUUGUUUGCUGGGCCUGAUUUGAACACAGGUUCACAGGUUGAAACAGGUUCUGAUAUUCAGAAUAGCUUGUGCUCUUUAGACUCUAAAAUGAAGAAGGGCAAUCAUCAAAUUUUGCUUUGAGAAUAUCAAGUGCCUUUGGCUGUAAUUUUAGGCCAGGCAGCAUCUGAUAUUUAAUUUGAGCAGGGAACAUUACUAGCUCUGGAAUCACAGUUCUGAGUUCAAAUCCCUGAUCUACCACUUAAAAUAUAUACAUAUAAAAACAUACAUAUGUUUCAGGUGUACAGCUUUAUAAUUCAACAUCUGUCUGCACUACAAAGUGGUCACCACCAUCCUUCACCAAACAGUUGAUCCCUUCACCCAUUCACUCAUUUUCUCACCCUUCUACCCCCUUCCCCUCUGGUAACCACUAGUCUCUUCUUUGUAUCUAGGAGUUUGUUUUGUUUGUUC